UGUGGCAGGAUCAUAAUACCGCGUAUCUGCUUGCGGUAGGUUGUGAAUCAUCUGGUAGCCAUGUCCUUUGGAACCGCUGGUCUCGCUGGCGGUUUGUCGCUGGUCUCUCUGGCGACAUGUCGCUGGUCUUGCUGGCGACAUAAAUCUUCAGGACAAUCAAUUGCCAACGUAUAUGUCCCCAUUGGUGGGGUCUUUUACAUAGUCAGGUUGUCAAUUCAUAAUGUUUCUUAUAUCAUAAUUCUUCAUAAAUCAUAUUUCAUAUUCUAAUUUCGAUAAUAAAAUAUAUAAUCAUGUAGUAUCGAAAUCCACCAAUGUAAUGCAUCAUGAAAUCAAUAUGUUCAAUCAUGCUUCAUCAUAACAUUUCAAAUAAGAUAUUUUCAUAACAAAAU
rnacentral:lncRNA from 1 species